rnacentral:lncRNA from 1 species
UUCAAGGUUUGAUCGAUCUUUGACAAAAUUGUUAUAGUCAGAUCAACUCCACUUUUAUAGGAGUAGAGGUCUAGCUCACUGGUUACUGUUACCUAGUAAGUGACUCCACAGAAUUGUUAAGUUGUGUUUUCUUUUUUUGCAGUCCAAUAAGCGACUCUUCUUCACAGGUUAUCACCUGUGACUUGAACUCUACAAAGAACUGUACAUAGCCUGAAACUCUGAAACCAUACUUACCGGCAAACGCGUUUGUGAAUAUACCGAAUAUUCUUUCUUU